rnacentral:rRNA from 1 species
GACGAACGCUGGCGGCGCGCUUAACACAUGCAAGUCGAGCGAAGCGGCGGACGGGUGAGUAACACGUGAGUAUCCUGCCUUAGACAUUGGGAUAGCCUCGGGAAACCGGGAUCAAUACCAAAUGGUCUAAGAUGGACUCGCGUCCCAUUAGCUAGUUGGUGAGGUAACGGCCCACCAAGGCGACGAUGGGUAGCCGGCCUGAGAAGGUGAACGGCCACAUUAGAACUGGGACACGGUCCAAACUCUACGGGAGGCAGUAGUUGGGAAUAUUGCACAAUGGAGGGAACUCUGAUGCAUCGGCGCGGCGUUAACGAAGAUGACUUUCGAGUCGUAAAGUUCUUUUAUUUGGGAAGCGGUACCAUAAGAAAAAGCCCCGGCUAACUACGUGCCAGCAGCCGCGGUAAUAC